CGAUAAUAUCGCCUAUCGUACGCGUUCAGACAUUCAUAACAAGAAUGAGUGUGUUGACAUUGAUAUGAUGAAGCCGGCUGAAAACAUUUCUGUUAAACCAAAAGCGUAAGACUUGCAGAUCCACCACUGCGUUGUUCGUCCUAAACAUAAAGUCAAAAGGUCGAAAACCAAUUCAUUUUUAGAGUUCACCAAAGUUGCUGAAAGCAAACUGCGUUUACCUGUUGAUGUUUCGUGUGAUCUCUGUCUUUCUGUUGACAACUUGCGUGACGUUAGUAUCAAGAACCUAAGGCGUGAGCUAAUUGAUAUGAAAACAAGAGCCGAGAAGUCUGGUGAUGGUUACAGGUAUGGUUUUACCAAGUGGUCAUCUUUCUUGAAAUCAAAUCACAUCUGGUUCGGCGCCACUCUUUUCUUUAAGUACGUCAAGUCUUCGCAGCUUUUGAUGUUGACCAAAGUUGUACACAAGACGACAAAGAAAAGAGGUCGUGCGUGACUGUUUGAAAUUGUGGUUUUUUUGCUUUGUUUGGGAUGAACAUUUAAUGUGGUGGUUUGUUUUUGUUUAUUGAUAUUUGAUGGGUAUUAGUCAAGUAUGGUUAGACGGUUAUGUUGGUAGUUUGUAGUUGUUGUUGACAUGGUUG